UACGGGGGGAGCAAGCGUUGUUCGGAUUUACUGGGCGUAAAGGGCGCGUAGGCGGCCAGCACAAGUCAGUUGUGAAAUCUCCGGGCUUAACUCGGAAAGGUCAACUGAUACUGUGCGGCUAGAGUGCAGAAGGGGCAACUGGAAUUCUCGGUGUAGCGGUGAAAUGCGUAGACAUCGAGAGGAACACCUGCGGCGAAGGCGGGUUGCUGGGCUGACACUGACGCUGAUGCGCGAAAGCCAGGGGAGCGAACGGG
rnacentral:rRNA from 1 species